rnacentral:lncRNA from 1 species
GGUGCCAAAAAUUGAUAAGUCACAAUGUUGUCAUUAGAACACUAUGAUUAUCAAAUUAAUUUUAAUUUUUUUAAAAAAAAUAUUAAAAAUAUAUAGAAAAUAGCGAGUCGGAUUGAAUCCACAAAGAAGGUAGUGCUUUGAUUUGUUAACUUUAUUUUUUAUAAAAAAAUAAAAUUUUGAGAAAAAUAAUUUAAGUCAAAAAAUAGAAAUUAAAAAUAUAAAAAAAUAAAUCAAGUACUAAGAUCUGCUAUCUAGAUCCUAACUUCUAUUUGUAAUAAAAAUAAAAGAUAAAAAUUUAAAGUACAUAAAAAUAAAUUGAUACUAAGAUCUACUAACUAGAUCUUAGUAUCUACUUGCAAUAAAAAUAAAGAGCAGAAAUUUAAAAGCGCAAUAACAUAGAUUUUGCAUUAAUUGAAAGUGAAGUUCAAUUAUAAAAAAUUUAAAAAAAUAAUAAAAUAAAAUAAAAUUAUAAUAAAGAUCUGAAAUUGAUCGGCGCAGUCUUGUCGGGAAGAUGGUUGACGACCUCUUCUUCUUCCGUGGAGCGAACUGGCUUCUCUCCUUCUUCUCUUUGGAUCUCUAAACUUCUUCUAAUUUUUUAAUUUUUUCUUAUUUUCUCUGUUAUUUUUCUCUGCUUUUCUCUUAUUCCCAGACCUCCUUAUUUAUAGGUGAAUUUUUCAUCUUUUUCUGAUAGAAAACAGAGUCCUAAAACACCACAAAAUGUGUCCAACCCGCAUACAAUAUUUCUGGCCAUCGGAUCGUAUUUGGACCACUUAGAUCGCAUAAAAAAUCAUCACUUAUCUCUUUAUCACAGUCGAGAUUGAUACUAACUAUCCGAUCAGAUGAUGGAUUGAAUUUUGGCUGUUGAUUAGUGCACUGGAUCUCCUAUUGAAAGUCGGAUCAAAUACGGACCGUUGGAUUAGGCCUGAGAUUAAUUUUGGACCGUUAGAUGGUGCAAAAAUUAGCUUCUCAUUUAGUUCUCAACCGACAUCAACCACAACUAUUAAAUCAACCCCUGGAUCGAUUUUCAAUCAUUGGAUCGUGCAAAUACUAUGGGCCACCACCGUUGGAUAUGAGAUAGCACGUUUUAGCACCUCUUAACCGUUCGAUCGCGCAAAAACCAACCGUCCGCCCUAUGAACCGCAAUAUGGACCACAAAACUAUGCUUGUAGAUCGUGACUUUCUUUCUUCCAACGGCUUCUGAUUGCUUGAGAGAGAAAAGAUUCCAACGGCUUCUGAUUGCUUGAUAGAGAGAAGAAUCCAGGACUUUCUUCCAACGGCUUAAGACUGUUUGACAGAGAAAAGAUUGGCUUCUGAUGAUGUGUAGAGAUGUGAUGGACAGGGAGAGAGAGCAUGUUAAGAGAUUUAUUUGAGAAGAAAAUAGGACCGGUUC